GACGAACGCUGGCGGCGUGCCUAAUACAUGCAAGUCGAGCGAAUGGAUGGGAGCUUGCUCCCUGAAGUUAGCGGCGGACGGGUGAGUCACACGCGGGCAACCUGCCUGUAAGACUGGGAUAACUUCGGGAAACCGGAGCUAAUACCGGAUACAUUCUUUCUUCGCCUGCAGAAAUAUGGAUAGAUGGUUUCGACUAUCACUUACAGAUUGGCCCGCGGCGCAUUAGCUCGUUGGUGAGGUAACGGCUCACCAAGGCAACGAUGCGUAGCCGACCUGAGAGGGUGAUCGGCCACACUGGGACUGAGACACGGCCCAGACUCCUACGGGAGGCAGCAGUAGGGAAUCUUCCGCAAUGGACGAAAGUCUGACGGAGCAACGCCGCGUGAGCGAAGAAGGCCUUCGGGUCGUAAAGCUCUGUUGUUAGGGAAGAACAAGUACCAGAGUAACUGCUGGUACCUUGACGGUACCUAACCAGAAAGCCACGGCUAACUACGUGCCAGCCGCCGCAGUAAGAC
rnacentral:rRNA from 1 species